rnacentral:rRNA from 1 species
UACAGAGGGUGCAAGCGUUGUUCGGAAUUAUUGGGCGUAAAGCGCGUGUAGGCGGCUUUGCAAGUCAGAUGUGAAAGCCCUCGGCUUAACCGAGGAAGUGCGUCUGAAACUGCAGAGCUUGAGUGUCGGAGGGGAUGGCGGAAUUCCCGGUGUAGAGGUGAAAUGCGCAGAUAUCAGGAGGAACACCGGUGGCGAAGGCGGAUCUCUGGGCCUUACCUGACGCUCAGGUGCGAAAGCUAGGGGAGCGAACAGG